rnacentral:rRNA from 1 species
CCUACGGGGGGCAGCAGUGGGGAAUAUUGGACAAUGGGGGCAACCCUGAUCCAGCCAUGCCGCGUGUGUGAAGAAGGCCCUCGGGUUGUAAAGCACUUUCAGUGAGGAAGAACGCCUGGUGGUUAAUACCCAUCAGGAAAGACAUCACUCACAGAAGAAGCACCGGCUAACUCCGUGCCAGCAGCCGCGGUAAUACGGAGGGUGCGAGCGUUAAUCGGAAUUACUGGGCGUAAAGCGCGCGUAGGUGGCUUGAUAAGCCGGUUGUGAAAGCCCCGGGCUCAACCUGGGAACGGCAUCCGGAACUGUCAAGCUAGAGUGCAGGAGAGGAAGGUAGAAUUCACGGUGUAGCGGUGAAAUGCGUAGAGAUCGGGAGGAAUACCAGUGGCGAAGGCGGCCUUCUGGACUGACACUGACACUGAGGUGCGAAAGCGUGGGUAGCAAACAGGAUUAGAUACCCCAGUAGUC